rnacentral:rRNA from 1 species
UAAGACAGCUGAAUGAUAGUCGGGCUGUAAGACUCUACUUGGACUAGCUGAGAGGAGGUGCAUGGCCGUCGUCAGUUCGUACUGUGAAGCAUCCUGUAAGUCAGGCAACGAGCGAGACCCACGCCAACAGUUGCCAGCUCGUCCUCCGGGAUGGUGGGGACACUGUUGGGACCGCCUCUGCUAAAGAGGAGGAAGGAAUGGGGCAACGGUAGGUCAGCAUGCCCCGAAUUAUCUGGGCUACACGCGGGCUACAAUGGGUGGGACAAUGGGUAUCGACACCGAAAGGUGAAGGCAAUCUCCUAAACCCAUCCGUAGUUCGGAUUGUGGGCUGCAACUCGCCCACAUGAAGCUGGAAUCUGUAGUAAUCGUGUCUCAAAAUGGCACGGUGAAUAUGUCCCUGCUCCUU